CAAAAGCUCAAAUUUGAAAUCUGGCGCCUUCGGUGUCCGAGUUGUAAUUUGAAGAUUGUAACCUUGGGGUUGGCUCUUGUCUAUGUUUCUUGGAACAGGACGUCACAGAGGGUGAGAAUCCCGUGCGAUGAGAUGCCCAAUCCUAUGUAAGGUGCUUUCGAAGAGUCGAGUUGUUUGGGAAUGCAGCUCUAAGUGGGUGGUAAAUUCCAUCUAAAGCUAAAUAUUGGCGAGAGACCGAUAGCGAACAAGUACAGUGAUGGAAAGAUGAAAAGAACUUUGAAAAGAGAGUGAAAAAGUACGUGAAAUUGUUGAAAGGGAAGGGUUUGAGAUCAGACUCGAUAUUUUGUGAGCCUUGCCUUCGUGGCGGGGUGACCCGCAGCUUAUCGGGCCAGCAUCGGUUUGGGCGGUAGGAUAAUGGCGUAGGAAUGUGACUUUACUUCGGUGAAGUGUUAUAGCCUGCGUUGAUGCUGCCUGCCUAGACCGAGGACUGCGAUUUUAUCAAGGAUGCUGGCAUAAUGAUCCCACAACCGCCCGUCUUGAAACAC
rnacentral:rRNA from 1 species